CUCCCACGGCUAACGAGCUCCACCUGCCCGGGUUUAUUGUUCGGAGUUUGCUCUCCUAGGUGAACUGCCUCCCACGGCUAACGAGCUCCACCUGCCCGGGUUUAUUGUUCGGAGUUUGCUCUCCUAGGUGAACUGCCUCCCACGGCUAACGAGCUCCACCUGCCCGGGUUUGUUUAGAGUUUGCUCUCCUAGGUGAACUGCCUACCACGGCUAACGAGCUCCACCUGCCCGGGUUUGUUUAGAGUUUGCUCUCCUAGGUGAACUGCCUACCACGGCUAACGAGCUCCACCUGCCCGGGUUUAUUGUUCGGAGUUUGCUCUCCUAGGUGAACUGCCUACCACGGCUAACGACCUCCACCUGCCCGGGUUUAUUGUUCGGAGUUUGCUCUCCUAGGUGAACUGCCUACCACGGCUAACGAGCUCCACCUGCCCGGGUUUAUUGUUCGGAGUUUGCUCUCCUAGGUGAACUGCCUACCACGGCUAACGACCUCCACCUGCCCGGGUUUGUUUAGAGUUUGCUCUCCUAGGUGAACUGCCUACCACGGCUAACGAGCUCCACCUGCCCGGGUUUGUUUAGAGUUUGCUCUCCUAGGUGAACUGCCUACCACGGCUAACGAGCUCCACCUGCCCGGGUUUGUAUAGAGUUUGCUCUCCUAGGUGAAUUGCCUCCCACGGCUAACGAGCUCCACCUGCCCGGGUUUAUUGUUCGGAGU